rnacentral:rRNA from 1 species
AUUGAACGCUGGCGGCAGGCCUAACACAUGCAAGUCGAACGGCAGCGGGGAGUAGCUUGCUACUCCGCCGGCGAGUGGCGGACGGGUGAGUAAUGCAUGAGGAGCUGCCCAAUCGUGGGGGAUAACAGCUGGAAACGGCUGCUAAUACCGCAUACGCCCUCCGGGGGAAAGGUGGGGAUUUUCGAACCUAUCGCGAUUGGAUGCACCCAUGUGGGAUUAGCUAGUUGGUGGGGUAACGGCUCACCAAGGCGACGAUCUCUAGCUGGUCUAAGAGGAUGACCAGCCACACUGGAACUGAGACACGGUCCAGACUCCUACGGGAGGCAGCAGUGGGGAAUAUUGCACAAUGGGGGAAACCCUGAUGCAGCCAUGCCGCGUGUGUGAAGAAGGCCUUCGGGUUGUAAAGCACUUUCAGCGGGGAGGAAGGGAGCAUGGCUAAUAUCCAUGCUCAUUGACGUUACCCGCAGAAGAAGCACCGGCUAACUCCGUGCCAGCAGCCGCGGUAAAAC